rnacentral:rRNA from 1 species
AGUGAACGCUGGCGGCAGGCCUAACACAUGCAAGUCGAGCGGCAGCGCGGGGGCAACCCUGGCGGCGAGCGGCGGACGGGUGAGGAAUUCGUCGGAAUCUGCCUUUUUGUGGGGGAUAACGUAGGGAAACUUACGCUAAUACCGCAUACGUCCUACGGGAGAAAGUGGGGGACCGCAAGGCCUCACGCUGAAAGAUGAGCCGACGACCGAUUAGCUAGUUGGUGGGGUAAAGGCCCACCAAGGCGACGAUCGGUAGCUGGUCUGAGAGGAUGAUCAGCCACACUGGGACUGAGACACGGCCCAGACUCCUACGGGAGGCAGCAGUGGGGAAUAUUGGACAAUGGGCGCAAGCCUGAUCCAGCCAUGCCGCGUGUGUGAAGAAGGCCUUCGGGUUGUAAAGCACUUUUGUCCGGAAAGAAAGCCUUGGAGCUAAUACCUUCGGGGGAUGACGGUACCGGAAGAAUAAGCACCGGCUAACUUCGUG